rnacentral:rRNA from 1 species
CAAUAGCGUAUAUUAAAGUUGUUGCAGUUAAAAAGCUCGUAGUUGGAUUUCUGGUGGGAGCGAUCGGUCUGGCGCUUAGCGCGAGUACUUGCAUCGUCUCCGGCCAUCCUUGGGGAGAGUCUGUCUGGCAUUAGGUUGUCGGGCAGAGGAUCCUCAUCGUUUACUGUGAAAAAAUUAGAGUGUUCAAAGCAGGCUUAUGCCGUUGAAUAUAUUAGCAUGGAAUAAUAAGAUAGGACUUUGGUACUAUUUUGUUGGUUUGCGCACCAAAGUAAUGAUUAAUAGGAACAGUUGGGGGUAUUCGUAUUCCGUUGUCAGAGGUGAAAUUCUUGGAUUUACGGAAGACGAACUACUGCGAAAGCAUUUACCAAGGAUGUUUUCAUUAA